rnacentral:rRNA from 1 species
UGGGGAAUUUUGGACAAUGGGCGCAAGCCUGAUCCAGCAAUGCCGCGUGCAGGAUGAAGGCCUUCGGGUUGUAAACUGCUUUUGUACGGAACGAAAAAGCUCUCUCUAAUACAGGGGGUGAAUGACGGUACCGUAAGAAUAAGCACCGGCUAACUACGUGCCAGCAGCCGCGGUAAUACGUAGGGUGCAAGCGUUAAUCGGAAUUACUGGGCGUAAAGCGUGCGCAGGCGGUUUUGUAAGACAGAGGUGAAAUCCCCGGGCUCAACCUGGGAACUGCCUUUGNGACUGCAAAGCUGGAGUGCGGCAGAGGGGGAUGGAAUUCCGCGUGUAGCAGUGAAAUGCGUAGAUAUGCGGAGGAACACCGAUGGCGAAGGCAAUCCCCUGGGCCUGCACUGACGCUCAUGCACGAAAGCGUGG